GAGUUAGCUCAGCUGGUUAGAGUGUGGUGCUAAUAAGGCCAAGAUAAGGGUUCAGUCCCCUUAUGGGCCA